rnacentral:rRNA from 1 species
UACGUAGGUCCCGAGCGUUGUCCGGAUUUAUUGGGCGUAAAGCGAGCGCAGGUGGUUUAUUAAGUCUGGUGUAAAAGGCAGUGGCUCAACCAUUGUAUGCAUUGGAAACUGGUAGACUUGAGUGCAGGAGAGGAGAGUGGAAUUCCAUGUGUAGCGGUGAAAUGCGUAGAUAUAUGGAGGAACACCGGUGGCGAAAGCUGCUCUCUGGCCUGUAACUGACACUGAGGCUCGAAAGCGUGGGGAGCAAACAGG